rnacentral:tRNA from 1 species
UUUUUUUUUUGAAUUUUCUUUUAAGCUUUCCCUGUGAGCUCAAAAGUGAUUCAAGAAAGGUUUUGCUAAACAAACUGAAGCACGCUUGUCAUUACAUUAAAAGGUAAGAAAACAAUUUAAGGAGACAGCCAGCAUCAAGGGCCCAGAAACACUGUGGUGCCAUAGGUCAACUCACUCAGUCAGACAUAUGUAUACCAGUGUGAAUCUUUAAAAUUCUACCCCAGUCUUGGCCUUGCCCCCACCCCCACCCCCCACCCCAAAAAAACUAAAACAGAAAAAAAGAAAAGCAUCUGCCUCCUUCCAGCAGCCAGAGACAGUUCCCAGAGUUGUCUCUGAAAAGGAAAAAGUAUUCAUUAUGAUUUUAGGCUACCAUGUGUUCUUUUAAGACAAUAUAAGGAAAGGAAAAAUCAGAAUAUUGACCAAAGAGCAGUGACUUCCUGCUGUCAGCAAGCCUCUUCAGGGCUUGGUUUUCAUGUGUCCAUCUGUGCCCUGGGAGUCAUCUUGUCCUCUGGGGUCCAUCCCUCCCUGGUUGCCAGGGUACCACCUCACAGGGGGUUGGCCAGCACCUUUUCCAUGGAUUGAUCAUGCUGGGGUGGAACUCGGUGUGAUGCAGGGUUUGCAUUGUGAGGGGAUCACUCCUCAUGAAGUGCUUCUCACACAGUGGACAGUGGAACUGUGUGGGUCCUGCAGUGGCCAGUCAGCUCAUAUGAGCUGGAGAACUUUAAGGCAGUCUGGCCACGUGUGGGGAAAGGGCCGUUCAUUCUGUAAUGGGCUUUGAGAUGAGAGCAUUUUCCAUAGACUUUCUCACAGUCAGUGUAGGGCCAUUUCAGGCAGGAGGAGGGAGACUGGCUAGGGGCCCCUGGACCCUGUGGAAAGGACUCUACCCUGAUUCAGUGGUCACGUCGCUGUUGGAUCCCAUUUCCUUGUCAGGACUCUCCAGACUGUCGCUUUGAACACGGAUGGGGUCUGGAUCGGUCCAUAUUUUUAAAUUUUAUCCCUGAUUUCUUCUGCUGUUCUUUGGUCAUUUAAUAGUGUUAUUAUUUAGUCUCUAGGUAUUAGAGUAGCUUCUAUUAUUUUAUCCUUGAUUUCUAAUUUCAUUUAUUUAUGAUCUGAUAUAAUGCAAGGUAUUUUCUCUCUGUCCCUCUUUUUUUUUUUUUUUUUUCUUGUAUUUGCCAAGAGUUACUUUGUGGCCUAAAUAUGGUCUAUUUUUGAGAAGGAUCUAUGUGCUCCUGAGAAGAAAGUGUAUUCAAUCAUUGAUGGAUGUAAUGUUCUAUAUGUCUGUUAAGUGUAAAUUAUUAUUUGUACUUUUUUAGUUCUGUAACUACUUUAUUUAGUUUUUGUUAGGAGGAUCUAUCCAGUAGUAAGAGAGGUGUGUUAAAGUCACCCAGUAUUAUUGUGUUGUGGUCUGUUUGAUUCUUGAAAUUGAGAAGGGUUUGUUAUGUAGAUGCUCCAUUAUUUGAGGCAUAAAUAUUUAUGUAUGUCUUGUUGAAGUAUAAUUCUGUUAAGCAAUAUGAAAUAUCCUUCUUUGUCCCUUCUGAUUGACUUUGGCUUGAAGUGCACUUUAUCUGAUAUGAGAAUAGAAACCCCUGCUUGUUUAUGAAGUCCAUGUGAAUGAUAUGUUUUUUUCCCAUCCUUUCACCUUUAUUCUGUGGAUAUCUUUGCUUAUGAGGCGAGCUUCUUGGAGAUAGCAUAAUUUGGUUCUUGUUUUUUAAUCCUGUCUACCAGUCUUUAUCUUUUGAUUGAUGAAUUUAGGCCAUUUACAUUCAAUGUGAUUAUUGAAAAAUGAUUUUUAUUCCCUGUUUCUGGUUUUUAAUUUGAAUUAGUUUCUCCUUUGAUUGACUGUCCUUCUAGUGUAAUUCUUUCCUUUGCUAGUUCUCAAUUUUAUUUUUCAUUUCUUCUGUAUGAAAUAUUUUGUUGAGUAUGUUUUAUAGUGCAAGCUUUCUAGUUGUGAAUUCUUUUGACUUUUAUUUAUCAUGGAAGGUUUUUAUUUUAUUGUCAAUUCUGAAGCUUAAUUUUGUAGGAUAUCAUAUUCUUGGUUGGCACUGAUUUUCUUUCAGAACUUGCUGUAUAUUAUUCCAUGUGCUCUUAGCUUUAGGGGUCUAGGUUGAAAAAUCAACUGAUACCUGGAUUGCUUUUCCCUCUCAUUUUUCUCUGGCAGACUUUAAGUUGUAUUCUUAUUCUGUACAUUAAGCAUUUUCUUCUUCUUCCUCCUCCUCCUUCUCUUCCUCCUCCUCCUCCUCUUCUUCUUCUUUUAGUUGAAAGUGGACACAGCUGAGGAUAGAACCCAGGUUCUAACAUGCUAGGCAAGCACUCUACCACUGAGCCACAAUUCCAGCCCUAGGUAUUUUCUUAAUAAUGAGCCUUGGUAUGAGUCUGUUGCAAUUUUGUAUAUUUGAGGUCCUGUAAACCUCCUAUAUUUGAUUUUGCAUUUAAUUUUUAUUAGGUUUGGGAAAUUCCCACAUAUUAUCUCAUUGAAAAGAUUUUGCAUUCCUUUGGUUUUUAUUUCUGAACCUUCAUCUAUCCCAAUAAAUCUUAAGUUUGCUCUUUUCAUGUUACUCCAUAUUUCUUGAAAGUUCUGUUAAUGGUCUCUUCUUUUUACCAUGAUCAACUUUAUUUUCAAGAUUAUAUAUUUUUUAUCAUUGCCUGAAACUUGGUCUUCCAAGUGGUCUAAUCUGUUGUUCAUCCUUUCCAUUGAAUUUUUUUUAGAACUUUUUUUUUUUAGUUGUAGAUGGAUACCUUUAUUUUAGUAUUUUUUAAUAUGGUAAAAUAAAAAUAAAGAUAAAAGAAUACAAGAACCAAUCCUAUAUGAACUAAUCAAAUAUCUUAGUCCUCAAAGUACUGGUCCAUGAAAAGUAACUGCCUUCAAAAAUUGCUAGAGUGGCAUUUAUACACAAUGGAGUAUCACUCUGCAUUAAAAAAUGACAAAAUCAUAGAAUUUGCAGGGAAAUGGAUGGCAUUAGAGCAGAUUAUGCUAAGUGAAGCUAGCCAAUCCCUAUAAAACAAAUGCCAAAUGUCUUCUUUGAUAUAAGGAGAGUAACUAAGAACAGAGUAGGGUUGAAGAGCAUGAGAAGAAGAUUAACAUUAAACAGG